rnacentral:tRNA from 1 species
GGCGCGGUGGCGAAGUGGUAACGCUGCGGUCUGCAAAACCGCCAUACGCGGGUUCGAUUCCCGCCCGCGCCU